GGGUGUUUAGCUCAGUUGGUAGAGCAAAUGACUUUUAAUCAUUGGGUCACAGGUUCGAAUCCUGUAACACCCACCA
rnacentral:tRNA from 1 species